GGAUUCCCCCAGUAACGGCGAGCGAAGCGGGACGAGCUCGAGCAGUCAAUCUCUGGCGUGGAUCGUCAGCGAAUUGUGGCCGGGAGAGGCGGGUGCACCGGAGGCGCCUCCGUCGAAGUUGACCUGGAAAGGCACGUCGGAGAGGGUGAUAGCCCCGUGCGGGGCGGAGGUGCCGAAGGCCGCUACCGUCUUCCGAGAGUCGGGUUGUUUGAGAUUGCAGCCCAAAUGGGGUGGUAAACUCCAUCUAAAGCCAAACAGCGGCACGAGACCGAUAGCGAACAAGUACCAUGAGGGAAAGGUGAAAAGCACUUUGGAAAGAGAGUUAAAGAGACCGCGAAACCGUUAGGAGGGAAACGCAUGCAGCCGAACUGGCCUUCGUCGGGUUCACGGGGCCGCGCGAGUCCUGGUCGAGCCGGAUGUCACCCAUGCGGGGUCGUCUGCUCGGCGGUGGUCUCCGCUCCCCUGCACUCCCGGCGGUGGGGGCCGGCCAAGGACGGUGGUGUCCCCGGCAAAAAGGACGGUCGGGUAGGUGGUGCAGCCGGCCCUCUCGGGUCGGAGGCGAGCUUAGAGCCGUCCGUUCGGCAGGUCGCGGGUCCACCGAGGAGAGUGGUGGC
rnacentral:rRNA from 1 species